rnacentral:rRNA from 1 species
CCUACGGGAGGCUGUAGUGAGGAAUAUUGGUCAAUGGCCGGAAGGCUGAACCAGCCAAGCCGCGUGAGGGAGGAAGGCGCAGAGCGUCGCAGACCUCUUUUGCCGGGGGACAAAAGGCCGGACUCGUCCGGUCCUGAGGGUACCCGGAGAAAAAGCAUCGGCUAACUCCGUGCCAGCAGCCGCGGUAAUACGGAGGAUGCGAGCGUUAUCCGGAUUCAUUGGGUUUAAAGGGUGCGCAGGCGGGAAAGCAAGUUGAAUGUUUAAGGUACGGGCUCAACCUGUACAAGCGUUCAAAACUGUUUUUCUUGAGUGGAGUAGAGGUAAGCGGAAUUCCUAGUGUAGCGGUGAAAUGCGUAAAUAUUAGGAGGAACACCAGUGGCGAAGGCGGCUUACUGGGCUUUAACUGACGCUGAGGCUCGAAAGCGUGGGUAGCAAACAGGAUUAGAUACCCCGGUAGUC